rnacentral:rRNA from 1 species
GAUGAACGCUGGCGGCGUGCCUAAUACAUGCAAGUCGAACGCACAGCGAAAGGUGCUUGCACCUUUCAAGUGAGUGGCGAACGGGUGAGUAACACGUGGAUAACCUACCUCAAGGUUGGGGAUAACAUUUGGAAACAGAUGCUAAUACCGAAUAAAACUUCGUAUCGCAUGAUACAAGGUUAAAAGGCGCUACGGCGUCACCUAGAGAUGGAUCCGCGGUGCAUUAGUUAGUUGGUGGGUAAAGGCCGUACCAAGACAAUGAUGCAUAAGCCGAGUUGAGAGACUGAUCGGCCACAUUGGGACUGAGACACGGCCCAAACU